UCGAGGAUCUUCGGCAAUGAGCGCAAGCUUGACCGAGCGACGCCGCGUGAGCGAUGAAGGCCUUCGGGUUGUAAAGCUCUUUAGUGGGGGAGAAAAGCCGCAAGGUGUGAUCUAUCCCAAAAAUAAGCACGGGCUAAGUUCGUGCCAGCAGCCGCGGUAAGACGAACCGUGCGAACGUUAUUCGGAAUCACUGGGCUUAAAGUGCGCGUAGGCGGGCUGUCAAGUCUGGGGUGAAAUCCCGCGGCGCAACCGUGGAACGGCCUCAGAUACUGACGGCCUCGAGGAAGGUAGGGGCAUGCGGAACUGUAGGUGGGGCGGUGAAAUGCGUUGAUAUCUACAGGAAAUCCGGUGGCGAAAGUGGCGUGCUGGACCUUUUCUGACGCUGAGGCGCGAAAGCUAGGGGAGCAAAC
rnacentral:rRNA from 1 species